rnacentral:SRP_RNA from 16 species
GGCUCGGGAUGGGGAACGACCCCCAGGCGGCAUUUGCAACCGAACAUAGCCAAAAGGCGGGGGCCGAUACACUCUGGCCAAACGCUUACCCAGGCCACGGGAGUUCUUGUUGGGCGAGGGUCUGCC